AGCAGCCGCGGUAAUUCCAGCUCCAAUAGCGUAUAUUAAAGUUGUUGCAGUUAAAAGUUCGUAGUUGAAUUUCGGGGUUAGUACGCUGGUCGUGCCUUCGGUAUGUACUGGUGUUACUGAUUCCUACCUUCUGAAGAACCGUCAUGUCAUUAAUUUGGUGUGGCGGGGAAUCAGGACUGUUACUUUGAAAAAUUAGAGUGUUUAAAGCAGGCUCGCGCUUGAAUACAUCAGCAUGGAAUAAUGAAAUAGGACGUUUGAUCCUAUUUUGUUGGUUUCUAGGAUUGACGUAAUGAUUAAUAGGGAUAGUUGGGGGCAUUAGUAUUCAAUUGUCAGAGGUGAAAUUCUUGGAUUUAUUGAAGACUAACUACUGCGAAAGCAUUUGCCAAGGAUGUUUUCAUUAAUCAAGAACGAAAGUUAGGGAUCGAAGACGAUCAGAUACCGUCGUAGUCU
rnacentral:rRNA from 1 species